GUUUAAUUACGGUAGCAUUUCAUUGUUAGACCCAAGUCCGCUGUAAUACAGAGAUAGAAAUAACACCUUUAAUUAUAUAAUUGCAAAGGUGACAGCUUAAUACACCGUAUUUGGAGGUAAUUUUUACAGCACUGUGUCGGGGAACAACAGAGGACAAAACAGCAAAAGAUAUGCCCUGAAUUAACCAACAUUUCAACAUAUAGGAUGUAAAUCCAUCAAAAAAUAAAAUAAAAAAGUAUAUCUAAAACUUUACAUUUAUUAAAGUUAGCGAUAAAAAGUGCAUGAGAGAUAAACUAAAUAUUUUAUAAUCUUCCAUAGCGUUCAAGUAGAGAUUGUAG